AUGAAUCUCUUACCUUCAUCUGAAACUCUUGGUCAGAAAAUCUACUACUUACAUUCAUGUCUUCUGAAAAUAAACAGGAAAAGUUAACCAAAAGCACUGCUAAAAAUGGAGAACAAAAUCAAUCAUAACAUAGAACUAAAUUUUACAAGUUUUCCUCUCCAGGUAGCAUGAGAAAAACAGCACGAGAGUGCCAGUAAAUAAACAAAUGCAAUGAGGACUUGUAGCACAAAUUAUCGUUUGCUGUAAUGUGGACUGACAGAGUCACAUUUUCUAGAUUAUAUCCUGUUAUAACCUAUCACUAGCAAGAAUGGAUCGAGGCUUUGAACUAGGUGCUUGGGAUCUCAGUUCUCUGCUGUGUGAAAUGAAAUCCCACAAGUGCUUCUUCAGUGCCAGAAAUGGGAGCUUGGAGGAUGUCUGAAAUCCAGACCCAUUUGGAGGUGGAACAAUACAAAUGCAGACAUGGAUCCCCAAAUCCUCAGUGAUGUUCUAGCCAUCCAACUGUUUGAUACCUUCUGACCCCUAGCACCUGACGAUGCUCAACAUCCAGGGUAAAACUGACUGAUGAAAAUCCCCCAGCAGAUCAACAUCAGAAUCAGAGGCAAGAGUACAGACCAUCCUACCCUGAGGUUCAGCCCAGACGUGCCGUGUUCCCAUAAGUAACCAAGAUGCUCGAGCAAAGCACGUGGUGUUUUCUCCUGGUGGUCUGUAUGGACUGAACACCUACCAACCACCACCCCAUGGAGUAGCCUGACUUUUGCAUCACAUCCUUAUAAAGCUGUGCUCAGCCCUAAACGCACACCCUGAUGCUGUUACACAGGUCGUCGCUUUGUUAUGGGCAUCAGGUGGCAAAUAUCUAUGCAGUUCUGUGUCAGGGUUUUCACCUGGAGGAGUAAUUAAAAUCAGUAUGUAAAGUUUUAGCUGUCCUCAGUCUGGAGCAGAAACAGCUGCUGCAGCCACAGGCUGCUCGCUGACUGGGCUGAGCUCAGCAGCAGGAGGGACUCCUGUGUUCUUUUCCUUUCCUUCUGAGCAGGCAAUUACAGCAGUUACUAGGGGCACGGAGAAGCAAGAACAGAAUGAUACAAUAAAGCAGAAUGAACUAAACAUGAGAAUAACUCUGCAAGGAGAAUGUAUACCCUUUAAGAAUAUAGAAGUAUUUAUACUAAUAUGUAACUAUGGAUAAGUAAUCUUUUCCUUUUUCCUAGAUGCUGCAUUCCAGAGGGUUUAUCUCCUAUUUUCCUCUGUUCCAAACUGUACUGAGCAGCAGCAGAGCUUGGAACCUGGAGCAAGAACUGUCGCUUUGAUAAUAAAGCUGAGUUAUCAGGA